AUAGGAAAAAUAGUUUUUAAAAAAAUCUCUGGCUCGGCAGAGAAAACAUGGUUUGUGAUAACAAAGUUAUAUCCUACUGCACUGAAUAAUUUAUUUACAAUUGGUUCUUCUCCAAUGAGAAGGCAAAUCAUGAAAAUUGAUUAUGGGAAAGUAUUCUAAAGCUGAAAUUAGAUACAGUGCCUCAAUUCAAGAGGGGAUGAUUUAAAUGGCAUUAUAAAUAGAAAGCAUGUGUUUACUAACAUUAGACACCAUUGUGUUCCACACCAGAAAAAAAAGAAACAUUGAAAUAAAAAAAAUGAAUUUAUGAAAUUCCUAGGCAAAUGGAUGGACCUGGAGGGUACCAUCCUGAGUGAAGUAACCCAAUCACAAAGGAACUCGCACAAUAUGUGCUCACUGAUAAGUGGAUAUUAGCCCAGAAACUUAGGAUACCCAAGAUAUAAGAUACAAUUUGCCAAACGCAUGAAAUUCAAGAAGAACGAAGACCAAAGUGUGGAUACUUUGCCCUUUCUUAGAAAUGGGAACAAAACACCCAUAGAAGGAGUUACAGAGACAAAAUUUGGAGCUGUGACGAAAGGAUGGACCAUCUAGUGAUUGCCAUAUGCAGGGAUCCAUCCCAUAAUCAGCUUCCAAAUGCUGACACCAUUGCAUACACUAGCAAGAUUUCGCUGAAAGGACCCAGAUAUAGCUCUCUCUUGUGAGACUAUGCCAGGGCCUAGCAAACACAGAAGUGGAUGAUCACAGUCAGCUAUUGGAUGGGUCACACGGCCCCUAAUGGAGGAGCUAGAGAAAUUACCCAAGGAGCUAUAGGGAACUGCAACCCUAUAGGUGGAACAACAAUAUGAACUAACCAGUACCCGGGAGCUCUUGUCUUUAGCUGCAUAUGUAUCAAAAGAUGGCCUAGUUGGCCAUCACUGCAAAGAGAGGCCCAUUGGACUUGCAAACUUUAUAUGCCCCAGUACAGGGGAACGCCAGGGCCAAAAAGGGGGAGUGGGUGGGUAGGGGAUUGGGGGGGGUGGGUAUGGGGGACCUUUGGGAUAGCAUUGAAAAUGUAAACGAGGAAAAUACC
rnacentral:lncRNA from 1 species